UUUUAUAUAUGUUUGUACAUUUUUUUUUGCUCUAUUUAUUUUAUUUUUUUGAUUGAUACAUGUUAAAUGUUAUGUUUACCUCGAUGCUUUAUUAACCGUUGAUCUUGAUUUUUUAUCAUUUUAAACAUUCAAAUCUUCACAUCCAUCUCUGUUUUCAUCUAUUUAUCCUUCAUUUGGAGCCGAUGAGGGCGUUCAAGUCUAGGCUUGGAAUUUGAGAAAAAGUUCUCGAGUGAGUUUUUCAAAGAGGGAUAAAGAACGGUGAAUUUGUUGAGAAAUUCAAGUCAAGUAUGGUAUGCAUUUUCUGCUUCUUUUGAUUGCAUGUCUAUGUUUGAUCUAUGAUUAGUUUGACAGAACUAUUUCACAUGGUGAAGACAAAUUUUUUUACUCGAAAUGUUAGUUUUCAUAGUUCGAUUAUCUAAUUCAGUCCUUGUUAAACUAUGAAAAGAAUGGGACAGCGACAUCUGAACAUGUUGGGGUCUUUUACUUUUUCCUUGAUUUGCUGGAGAGCAAGUUGGAAAACAUGGAUUUCUAAGUUUUGUAAUUGGACUCCUAAAAACUUCAUGCAUCGUACAAGAUGUUUCCAGCUGCAAAUAAUUGGAUUAGAAAUUCUUACAGAAGUUUCUUCGCAAGGAAAUAUAGAUAAUGAACACAUCAGAAUAGACGAUUUAGGAUUUACUACUAGUUCACUAUGCUCUUCACGUGGACAUAUCUUGAGGUGCUAUCUGGUGGUUUUGUCGUACUACUCAAGAAUCCCCAAAUAAACAUGUAAUUAUCUAUUUGAGUUCUAAUUAUCAAUCAACUAAAACAAUGUGGUUGCUUAUCUCCAAUAUCAAUUCUUCUCAGUUUCAACAACAAAACAGAGGCCAAUUUACAGGGAUCCAAAUGAUUCAAAGAUUGGUACAUCUUUUUAUUAAACUUAUUUUCACUUGAUAUUUUUAGUUUUGCAUACUAUAUCUUGCUACUUUUUGACUUACUGAAGAGAUGAUAAGGUUUUCUAUUUAACUGUUGCAUAAUGAGCAAAUCUAAAUGUAGAGCUCAAUAUGGUAAACCAAAAAAUCUUGUUGAUAAAUGAUAAGUACUGCUAAAAGGAAACCAAUGGGGAAAACACGUAGGUUAAAAAUUGUCAAUCAUAUGCAGUCUUCUAUACUAUCCAUAAAGCCAGAGAAAUCCAUGUACAUAUGUUGUGUCUGUUAAAGUGCUAUAGCACUUCACGAAAUAUUUUUUGUACCUGAAGCAGGAAGUUUCCCCUUUUGAUGUGCCAGAACUACUGGCGUGUUUAGUUAGGCAGUAGCCCAUUUCUGGAUCAAAUUGGCAUUUAUAAAGGUUUCGCAGAGCUAUCAGUUGAUUUAUGGGCUAUUUUAUAUCUUGUGGAUUGCAUUUGUAGGAUGAGAUGGGGACUUGUGUGUUGAAACUUUAAAAUGCAUGUUGCUGAAUGAUUUCAUAUAUGGUCAGAAUCUACAAAAGACUCAAUAUUUUUUACCAUAUUAACUACCUUCCAAUGUAUGCAAUAUACAGAAAGAGUUAAAAGAAGAACAUGCUACUUGAAAGGUAGAAGUGAAGAUGGAGCAAAUGAUAACAAGCUCAAGGUAGCUAAGCAACAAUUCGAUUAUACGUUGUGAGAAUUAGUAGCAUAUCUAUUUCACGAGGAUGUAGAUUUAUGUUUUUUUUAGAUGCAUGAUAAUGGAUAUAGAUCAUUUUUGAUACUGUUUUUUCAGUUUAUAUGUAACCAUACUUCGUGAAUAAUUUUUACUUGAGUUUUGGUGUAAUAUAUUGGAUUUAAGGUUACAUUGAUUGACACUA